rnacentral:lncRNA from 1 species
GAUCAUGGAUUACAUAAAAUUCGAUCAUGGAUUACAUAAAAUUCAAUCAUGGAUUACAAAAAAAAAAAAACAUAAAAAAACAAAAAAUUCGAUCGUGGAUUACAAGAACAGAAAAAAACAAUUCGAUCAUGGAUUACAAAAAAUUCAAUCAUGGGUUACAAAAAAAAAAAACACAAAAAAUUCGAUCAUGGACUACAAGUAAAAAAACAAACAUUUCGAUCAUGGACUACAAAAAAGUCGAUCAUGGAUUACAGAAAAUUCUAUCAUGGAUUACAUAAAAUUCGAUCAUGCAUUACAAAAAAAAAAACAAAAAAUUCGAUCGUGGAUUACAAAAAAGAAAAAAACAAUUACAUCAUGGAUAACAAAAAAUUCAAUCAUAGAUUACAAAAAACUUUAUCAUGGGUUACAUAAAAAACAAAAAACAAAAAAUUCGAUC